GCGGUUGGUAAAGGGAAACAAUAUGGUGGAUGCAAUUAUUCAAGAUCUUUGCAGCUCGCUUAAAUUGGAGCGAGAUAAGGGCUUUCAAAAUUUUGUCAAGCAUAUCGAUCUAGCGGAGAGUGAGGAUAUUGAUACGCUUGAACAAUGUAUCACAAAACUUUUAACGGAAGAGGGUUCAUCGUGGGAGAAAAAGCAUGGUGGAUUGAUGGCCGCAAAAGCCCUCUUAAUAAGUGGAAAAAGUUCUGACGAUUUUGCAUUGCCAAAUAUUGCCAAAUCAUUGGGGAAGAGGUAUUUUAAGCCCCAUUUAGAAGAAUUCUUUGAUUGCAUAUUUUACAGCAUUACCUGUGAUAACGCCCUGACGGCCAGUGCCGCUAGCCAGUGUCUGAAUCAGCUGAGUGCUUUCCUGGGGCCCAGCAUCUUACGGGGAAGAGUCGAACAGUUUAACCCAAGAUAUUUAGAGCUACUUAAAGCCAACCAGUUUAUUGCACCACUAUGAGGACAAUUGCAGCCUGAUAUAUGUCUUCAGUCUUGACAGACACAGCUUUCUGCAGAAGUAAGCCUGGUGAAAUUCUAUACCUCAGUGAUUGUUACGUGGGAAGACAUAAUUAAUAUCCAUUGUACCAUUGGUCACAUCCGAUUCAUCGUCUCCAUUGUUGUUGCGAUAUUGUAACCAGGAUGGAAUCUAAUUAACAGUCCCAUUGUGUCAGUAGCUCAGUGCAUUGUACUAGUGGCUAUAAUUUUACAAAUCUUAACUAAAAUUUACAAGAAUACUUCAGAUUUGUUGCAUGUUAGAGGUUACAACAUCAAGCAUAACAAUUUUUCUAUGCUUUGCUGUGUAUUAAUAAUUUAUUACUGUGGCGGAGACAAAGCUAUGUUUUAGUUUGUUUAUUAAAAGUCUGUGAGAUCUU
rnacentral:misc_RNA from 1 species